rnacentral:rRNA from 1 species
UCCGUAGGGUGCAAGCGUUAAUCGGAAUUACUGGGCGUAAAGCGUGCGCAGGCGGCUAUGCAAGACAGAUGUGAAAUCCCCGGGCUCAACCUGGGAACUGCAUUUGUGACUGCAUGGCUAGAGUACGGUAGAGGGGGAUGGAAUUCCGCGUGUAGCAGUGAAAUGCGUAGAUAUGCGGAGGAACACCGAUGGCGAAGGCAAUCCCCUGGACCUGUACUGACGCUCAUGCACGAAAGCGUGGGGAGCAAACAGG